GGAAAAGAAGGUGGAGAUAGCAAGUAGGAAGUGAAAGAGGGGGAAGUGGAACAAGUGUCAAAGAGAGUUGGAGUUGGGGAGACAGCUCUCUCCCUCUUCUUUCUUUGGAAACUGAUGGAAUCAAUCAGAAAACAAGCUACAAAGCUCAGAGAACAAGUAGCCAAACAACAACAGGCUGUCUUCAAACAAUUCUCUAGUGGACUAGGUGGACCAGAUAAUAGUGUUACUGAUGAAGUAGAGUUGCAGCAGCAUCAAAAACUUGAGAAGCUGUACAUUUCUACUCGUGCCGGCAAGCAUUUCCAAAGAGAUAUCAUCCGAG
rnacentral:misc_RNA from 1 species